rnacentral:lncRNA from 1 species
AAAUCAGCAACUCUUAAUUGGCAAUUAAGCAACGGUAAUACAAAGUUUUUCAACUAUAAAUACAGCUUCAAUUGAGUCUUCUAAACACAAAAACUGAUCAUACAAUUGUUAAAGCUUGCAUACAUUAUUGCUUAUCAUUUUAUAUUCAUUACAUAAGCUAUUGAGAGCCAAAUUCUUGUCGAAAGUUGUUGCGAUCUUGAGCGUAUUCUUUUUACUCAUAUCUACUCUUAAAGGAGUGUCUUGUUUGAGUGCUAAGUGUUNNN